CCUACGGGUGGCAGCAGUGGGGAAUAUUGCACAAUGGGCGCAAGCCUGAUGCAGCCAUGCUGCGUGUGUGAAGAAGGCCUUCGGGUUGUAAAGCACUUUCAGCGGGGAGGAAGGCGUUAAGGUUAAUAACCUUGGCGAUUGACGUUACCCGCAGAAGAAGCACCGGCUAACUCCGUGCCAGCAGCCGCGGUAAUACGGAGGGUGCAAGCGUUAAUCGGAAUUACUGGGCGUAAAGCGCACGCAGGCGGUCUGUCAAGUCGGAUGUGAAAUCCCCGGGCUCAACCUGGGAACUGCAUUCGAAACUGGCAGGCUAGAGUCUUGUAGAGGGGGGUAGAAUUCCAGGUGUAGCGGUGAAAUGCGUAGAGAUCUGGAGGAAUACCGGUGGCGAAGGCGGCCCCCUGGACAAAGACUGACGCUCAGGUGCGAAAGCGUGGGGAGCAAACAGGAUUAGAUACCCCGGUAGUC
rnacentral:rRNA from 1 species